rnacentral:rRNA from 1 species
UACAGAGGUCUCAAGCGUUGUCCGGAUUCAUUGGGCGUAAAGGGUGCGUAGGUGGCGCGCUAAGUCAGGUGUGAAAUCUCGGGGCUUAACUCCGAAACUGCAUUUGAUACUGGCGUGCUUGAGGACUGGAGAGGAGACUGGAAUUCAUGGUGUAGCAGUGAAAUGCGUAGAGAUCAUGAGGAAGACCAGUGGCGAAGGCGGGUCUCUGGACAGUUCCUGACACUGAGGCACGAAGGCCAGGGGAGCAAACGGG